rnacentral:rRNA from 1 species
AUUGAACGCUGGCGGCAGGCCUAACACAUGCAAGUCGAACGAGUGGCGGACGGGUGAGUAAUGUCUGGGAAACUGCCUGAUGGAGGGGGAUAACUACUGGAAACGGUAGCUAAUACCGCAUACCAUCAGAUGUGCCCAGAUGGGAUUAGCUAGUUGGUGGGGUAACGGCUCACCAAGGCGACGAUCCCUAGCUGGUCUGAGAGGAUGACCCGGCAAACUGGAACUGAGAAACGGGCCAGACUCCCACCGGAGGCAGGAGGUGGGAAUAUUGGACAAUGGGGGCAAGCCUGAUGCAGCCAUGCCGCGUUGAUGAAGAAGGCCUUCGGGUUGUAAAGUACUUUCAGCGGGGAGGCGUUACCCGCAGAAGAAGCACCGGCUAACUCCGUGCCAGCCGCCGCGGUAAUAC